rnacentral:rRNA from 1 species
GGGGAAUUGUUCGCAAUGGGCGCAAGCCUGACGACGCAACGCCGCGUGGAGGAUGAAGAUUUUCGGAUCGUAAACUCCUGUCGAGUGGGAAGAAUAGCCUAGGGGCGAAUAUCCCCGAGGUCUGACGGUACCACUAAAGGAAGCCCCGGCUAACUCCGUGCCAGCAGCCGCGGUAAUACGGGGGGGGCAAGCGUUGUUCGGAAUUACUGGGCGUAAAGGGCGCGUAGGCGGUGCUCUAAGUCGGAUGUGAAAACUCUGGGCUCAACCCAGAGCCUGCAUCCGAAACUGGAGUGCUAGAGUUCUGGAGGGGGUAGCGGAAUUCCUGGUGUAGCGGUGAAAUGCGUAGAUAUCAGGAGGAACACCGGUGGCGAAGGCGGCUACCUGGACAGAAACUGACGCUGAGGCGCGAAAGCUAGGGGAGCAAA